rnacentral:rRNA from 1 species
UACGUAGGGUGCGAGCGUUGCCCGGAUUUAUUGGGCGUAAAGGGCGCGUAGGCGGCUCGGCACGUCCGUUGUGAAAUCGCCCGGCUCAACUGGGCGGGGUCAGCGGAUACGGUCGAGCUUGAGCAAGCUAGGGGGUAGUGGAAUUCCCGGUGUAGUGGUGGAAUGCGUAGAUAUCGGGAGGAACACCAGUGGCGAAGGCGGUUACCUGGGGCUUUGCUGACGCUGAUGCGCGAAAGCGUGGGGAGCGAUCCGG